CUACCAAGACAGUGACGGUUGACGGGGAAUCAGGGUUUGGUACCGGAGAGGGAGCCUGAGAGAUAGCUCCCACGUCCAUGGACGGCAGCAGGCGCGAAAAUUGCCCACUCUUUGCAGGAGGCAGUUAUGAGACGUGAAAGUGAAUAUUCAGUAAAGAUGAAUAGGAGAAUUGGAGGGCAAGUUUGGUGCCAGCCGCCGCGGUAAUACCGACUCCAAGAGUGUGUAUGAGAGAUGCUGCAGUUAAAAAGUCCGUAGUCAUAGAAAGAGAAAUAGGGAUGAGAAGUCUCAUUAUUUAGUGAUAGAAAAACCGAUGGGGAACAUAGUAUACCAGGGCGAGAGAUGAAAUGCCAAGACCCCUGGUGGACUAAGCGAGGCGAAAGCGAUGUUCUUGUAGGGAUUUGAUGAUCAAGGACGAAGGCUGGAGUAUCGAAAGUGAUUAGAUACCGCAGUAGUUCCAGCAGUAAAAGAUGCC
rnacentral:rRNA from 1 species